AACAGAUGUUGAAUUGAAGUCGAUUGCAAGUAGAAACAAAAUAAAUGAUAAGAUUUAAUGAACAAACUAAAGACUGAAAAUGAAAUUAACUUAAAACAAAGUAAAGCAAUAAUUUCCCCAAUUCAAACCCUGAUCUAAGUAGAAAGACAAUUAAACCAAGGGAAAAAACCCCUAAUUUAGUCCUGAGCAUUGCUAUUUAUUAUAGCAGUAUUAUAUGACCGAAUU
rnacentral:lncRNA from 1 species